rnacentral:rRNA from 1 species
CAGGAUUCCCCUAGUAACUGCGAGUGAAGCGGGAAAAGCUCAAAUUUAAAAUCUGGCGGUCUCUGGCCGUCCGAGUUGUAAUCUAGAGAAGUAAUGCCCGUGCUGGACCGUGUAUAAGUCUCCUGGGAUGGGGCGUCAUAGAGGGUGAGAAUCCCGUCUUUGACACGGACUACCAGUGCAUUGUGGUAUGCUCUCAAAGAGUCGAGUUGUUUGGGAAUGCAGCUCAAAAUGGGUGGUAAAUUCCAUCUAAAGCUAAAUAUUGGCGAGAGACCGAUAGCGAACAAGUACCGUGAGGGAAAGAUGAAAAGAACUUUGGAAAGAGAGUUAAACAGUACGUGAAAUUGCUGAAAGGGAAACGCUUGAAGUCAGUCGCGUUGGCCGGGGAUCAGCCUUGCUUUUGCAUGGUGUACUUUCUGGUUGACGGGUCAGCAUCAAUUUUGACCGCUGGAAAAAGACCUGGGGAAUGUGGCAGCUUCGGCUGUGUUAUAGCCCCUAGUCGCAUACAGUGGUUGGGAUUGAGGAACUCAGCACGCCGCAAGGCCGGGUUUCGACCACGUUCGUGCUUAGGAUGCUGGCAUAAUGGCUUUAAGCGACCCGUCUUGAAACACGGACCAAGGAGUCUAACAUGCCUGCGAGUAUUUGGGUGGAAAACCCAAGUGCGUAAUGAAAGUGAAAGUUGAGAUCCCUGUCGUGGGGAGCAUCGACGCCCGGACCAGAACUUUUGGGACGGAUCCGCGGUGGAGCAUGUAUGUUGGGACCCGAAAGAUGGUGAACUAUGCCUGAAUAGGGUGAAGCCAGAGGAAACUCUGGUGGAGGCUCGUAGCGAUUCUGACGUGCAAAUCGAUCGUCAAAUUUGGGUAUAGGGGCGAAAGACUAAUC